rnacentral:rRNA from 1 species
CCUACGGGUGGCAGCAGUGAGGAAUAUUGGUCAAUGGUCGGGAGACUGAACCAGCCAAGCCGCGUGAGGGAUGAAGGUACAGUGUAUCGUAAACCUCUUUUGUCAGGGAACAAAGGCGGGGACGUGUCCGCGGAGGAGUGGAACUGAAGAAAAAGCAUCGGGUAACUCCGUGCCAGCAGCCGCGGUAAUACGGAGGAUGCGAGCGUUAUCCGGAUUUAUUGGGUUUAAAGGGUGCGUAGGCGGUCUGUUAAGUCAGCGGUCAAAGCACGGGGCUCAACCCCGGCCUGCCGUUGAAACUGGCAGUCUCGAGUUGGCGAGAAGUAUGCGGAAUGCGCGGUGUAACGGUGAAAUGCAUAGAUAUCGCGCAGAACUCCGAUUGCGAAGGCAGCAUGCCGGCUCCACACUGACGCUGAGGCACGAAAGCGUGGGUAUCGAACAGGAUUAGAUACCCGAGUAGUC